AUUGAACGCUGGCGGCAGGCCUAACACAUGCAAGUCGAGCGGAUGAAGGGAGCUUGCUCCUGGAUUCAGCGGCGGACGGGUGAGUAAUGCCUAGGAAUCUGCCUGGUAGUGGGGGAUAACGUCCGGAAACGGGCGCUAAUACCGCAUACGUCCUGAGGGAGAAAGUGGGGGAUCUUCGGACCUCACGCUAUCAGAUGAGCCUAGGUCGGAUUAGCUAGUUGGUGGGGUAAAGGCCUACCAAGGCGACGAUCCGUAACUGGUCUGAGAGGAUGAUCAGUCACCCGGAAACGGACAAACGGCCCAGACCCCCAGGGGAGGCAGCAGGGGGAAAUUUGGGAAAAGGGGCGAAAGCCUGAUCCAGCCAUGCCGCGUGUGUAAAAAAGGUCUUCGGUUUGUAAAGCACUUUAAGUUGGGGGGAAGGGAAGUAAGUUAAUACCUUUCUUUUUUGACUUUACCAACAGAAUAAGCACGGGCUAACUUCGU
rnacentral:rRNA from 1 species